GUUGAACGCUGGCGGCAGGCCUAACACAUGCAAGUCGAGCGGGGACUUCGGUCCUAGCGGCGAACGGGUGAGUAAUGCUUGGGAAUCUGCCCAGUAGUGGGGGAUAACGUCCCGAAAGGGACGCUAAUACCGCAUACGUCCUACGGGAGAAAGAGGGGGAUCUUCGGACCUCUCGCUAUUGGAUGAGCCCAAGUCGGAUUAGCUAGUUGGUAGGGUAAUGGCCUACCAAGGCGACGAUCCGUAGCUGGUCUGAGAGGAUGAUCAGCCACACUGGAACUGAGACACGGUCCAGACUCCUACGGGAGGCAGCAGUGGGGAAUAUUGGACAAUGGGCGAAAGCCUGAUCCAGCCAUGCCGCGUGUGUGAAGAAGGCCUUCGGGUUGUAAAGCACUUUAAGCGGGGAGGAAGGUUCGCGGCCUAAUACGUCGCGGAAUUGACGUUACCCGCAGAAUAAGCACCGGCUAACUCUGUG
rnacentral:rRNA from 1 species